CUGCCCGAAAUGCUUGAGCACUGGCUAGCUGGGUUGUGGCUGUUGGGCCUUCGUGCCAUGUCACAAAUGCCCUUUCAGGCGGAUUCGUUCAUGGGCGCGCAUUGAGUGUGUUGUGCGCGCUCCUCUGAUGUUUCCGUGCUGGGUUAACCUAUCGAAGCAUCACACGGUAAUUGCCCACCACAGCUCGUUGCUUGGUCACCCUCUGGGUCUAGACGUGCAGGAUGCUCAUCCAGUUUCCGGGCUGUCAAUGUUGACGCGUGUAUAUGUGUGGGCGAUGGUGCCGUACGGAGGGCUUUUCCGUACGCGCACACGCUCGCGUCACGUCCGUGAUCCUGGCUCUGACUGCCGACUUGUAGACGUGGUGUGAUCCAUUCGGCGACGAAGCUGGAAUUGGCCAGACGCAUACAACCCCCAGCACUUGUGGCCAUUUGUCGGUCGCAGUGUCCCUGCGGGCAGGCUGCCUGCGUCGCAUUGUAUGAGACGCUCAGCUUGGGAGUUGGUCUGAUUGGUGAUGAUCUAGCGACCAUCGGUCACGUCUCGAAACACGGGCCAAGGAGUAUAGCAUGUGUGCAAGUCU
rnacentral:rRNA from 1 species